rnacentral:rRNA from 1 species
GACGAACGCUGGCGGCGUGCCUAAUACAUGCAAGUCGAACGAGUGGCGGACGGGUGAGUAACACGUGGGAACCUACCCAUCCGAGGGGGAUAACUACUGGAAACGGUUGCUAAUACCGCAUACUAUCGGAUGAACCCAUAUGGGAUUAGCUAGUAGGUGGGGUAAAGGCUCACCUAGGCGACGAUGUCUAGCUGGUCUGUGAGGAUGAUCAGCCACACUGGGACUGAGACACGGCCCAGACUCCUACGGGAGGCAGCAGUGGGGAAUAUUGCGCAAUGGGCGCAAGCCUGAUGCAGCCAUGCCGCGUGUAUGAAGAAGGCCUUAGGAUUGUAAAGUACUUUCGGCGGGGAGGCGUUACCCGCAGAAGAAGCACCGGCUAACUCCGUGCCAGCAGCCGCGGUAAUAC